UUCCAGCAGCAUUUUUUUUUGUAAUGGAUAUGACUAUUUUUAUGUGGAUGCCACGUUGGGCCUGCAGAAUUCUUAUAACUUUCUUCAUUAUUUUUGCCAGCAGGUGGAUGGAAUUGUUUUCUUUAAAGGGGGCGACGGCAUGAAGAGUGGGAAUCGUAUCUUCAUAGGUGUUUUAUUAGCGAUGACAGAUACGUUUUUUUUCGAAUAUAAGUUUUUAUGCUGGGCGUUAUUUUUGCCUUAAGUCGUGCUUUUGAAAUUCUUCGAAUUUCCCAAUAUCGUGUUUGUGCCGUCAUGGGAAGCAUAAGUGGAGGCAAAUGUUUCUUUUUUUCUGUUGAAGAUAUUUCGUGGUCUUUAUUCUGGGCGAAAAGCAGAGUGAAGACGAUGUUUAUUUUUUAAAUCGUGGGAGAAAUUCAAUAUGAAUUGAAUUAAUUUUGCAGGUUAUGGUGGCAUCGAAGCUUAAUAAUAGCUGGUCGCUAUUAUUUCAGUUGGUGUUACAGCUGGACAUUUUCAAUGAAUCUUCAGUUGCUAUUCUCAAAACGAACUUUCUUUUGGAGCAAAAAUUAUUAGUUGUGGAGGAUAUUGUGGGCUGUGUAGUUGUGGGUGUUGUCGAGCUGAAAAAGUUUUUCUGUGAAAGAUCUGUAUUACUAUUCUUCUUUUGAUGUUUUGUUCGUAAAAAGGGGAGGAGAAACUACAACAUGUGUUAAAUGCAAUGUGUGUUGUUUUGUAGUUCAUGUAAGGACUGGGUCUUGAAUGCCAGCGUAAAGAAUAAGGGAGAGGUUUGAAGUUUAUUGUUUUAUGGAAGAGAUUUUAAAUGUAUACUUUGUAGUGUCUUUUCUUAAAUUCUUAUUGUUUCUGUCUGUCAGAGGUUAGUGCCUCUGUAAUCAGAUUAGGUGUUCUAUUAAGUCUGUUUCAGUGAGUUGGUGCUCACCUUUGUAAACUGGGUUGGUGCCCAGAUAGUCUUCAGAGGAUUUAUUUGAACCGUGGUACCCUGGUUCUUUAUCCGAAAGAGUUUUCCACGUGAUAAAAUUUGGUGUCUCAGUCUUCAUGCA